rnacentral:tRNA from 1 species
GGGGUUGUGGCUCAGCUGUAGAGUGCUUGCCUAGCACGUAUGAGGCCCUGGGUUCAAUCCUCAGGACCACA